AUACGUAGGGUGCGAGCGUUGUCCGGAAUUACUGGGCGUAAAGAGCUCGUAGGUGGUUUGUCGCGUCGUCUGUGAAAUUCCGGGGCUUAACUCCGGGCGUGCAGGCGAUACGGGCAUAACUUGAGUACUGUAGGGGAGACUGGAAUUCCUGGUGUAGCGGGGAAAUGCGCAGAUAUCAGGAGGAACACCGGUGGCGAAGGCGGGUCUCUGGGCAGUAACUGACGCUGAGGAGCGAAAGCAUGGGUAGCGAACAGGAUUAGAUACCCUGGUAGUCCAUGCCGUAAACGGUGGGCGCUAGGUGUAGGGGUCUUCCACGACUUCUGUGCCGUAGCUAACGCAUUAAGCGCCCCGCCUGGGGAGUACGGCCGCAAGGCUACAACUUAAAGGAAUUGACGGGG
rnacentral:rRNA from 1 species